AUUGAACGCUGGCGGCAUGCCUUACACAUGCAAGUCGAACGGCAGCACGGGAGCAAUCCUGGUGGCGAGUGGCGAACGGGUGAGUAAUAUAUCGGAACGUGCCCAGUAGUGGGGGAUAACUGCUCGAAAGAGCAGCUAAUACCGCAUACGACCUGAGGGUGAAAGGGGGGGAUCGCAAGACCUCUCGCUAUUGGAGCGGCCGAUAUCAGAUUAGCUCGUUGGUGGGGUAAAGGCCUACCAAGGCAACGAUCUGUAGUUGGUCUGAGAGGACGACCAGCCACACUGGGAAUGAGACAGGGCCCAGACUCCUGCGGGAGGCAGCAGUGGGGAAUUUUGGACAAUGGGCGCAAGCCUGAUCCAGCAAUGCCGCGUGCAGGAAGAAGGCCUUCGGGUUGUAAACUGCUUUUGUCAGGGAAGAAAUCCGCUAGGUUAAUACCCUUGGGGGGAUGACGGUACCUGAAGAAUAAGCACCGGCUAACUACGUGCCAGCAGCCGCAGUAAUAC
rnacentral:rRNA from 1 species